GUUUGAUCCUGGCUCAGGACGAACGCUGGCGGCGCGCCUAACACAUGCAAGUCGAACGAGCGAGAGAGAGCUUGCUUUCUCGAGCGAGUGGCGAACGGGUGAGUAACGCGUGAGGAACCUGCCUCAAAGAGGGGGACAACAGUUGGAAACGACUGCUAAUACCGCAUAAGCCCACGGCUCGGCAUCGAGCAGAGGGAAAAGGAGCAAUCCGCUUUGAGAUGGCCUCGCGUCCGAUUAGCUAGUUGGUGAGGUAACGGCCCACCAAGGCGACGAUCGGUAGCCGGACUGAGAGGUUGAACGGCCACAUUGGGACUGAGACACGGCCCAGACUCCUACGGGAGGCAGCAGUGGGGAAUAUUGCACAAUGGGGGAAACCCUGAUGCAGCGACGCCGCGUGGAGGAAGAAGGUCUUCGGAUUGUAAACUCCUGUUGUUGGGGAAGAUAAUGACGGUACCCAACAAGGAAGUGACGGCUAACUACGUGCCAGCAGCCGCGGUAAAACGUAGGUCACAAGCGUUGUCCGGAAUUACUGGGUGUAAAGGGAGCGCAGGCGGGAAGACAAGUUGGAAGUGAAAUCUAUGGGCUCAACCCAUAAACUGCUUUCAAAACUGUUUUUCUUGAGUAGUGCAGAGGUAGGCGGAAUUCCCGGUGUAGCGGUGGAAUGCGUAGAUAUCGGGAGGAACACCAGUGGCGAAGGCGGCCUACUGGGCACCAACUGACGCUGAGGCUCGAAAGUGUGGGUAGCAAACAGGAUUAGAUACCCUGGUAGUCCACACCGUAAACGAUGAUUACUAGGUGUUGGAGGAUUGACCCCUUCAGUGCCGCAGUUAACACAAUAAGUAAUCCACCUGGGGAGUACGACCGCAAGGUUGAAACUCAAAGGAAUUGACGGGGGCCCGCACAAGCAGUGGAGUAUGUGGUUUAAUUCGACGCAACGCGAAGAACCUUACCAAGUCUUGACAUCCCUUGACAGGCAUAGAAAUAUGUUUUCUCUUCGGAGCAAGGAGACAGGUGGUGCAUGGUUGUCGUCAGCUCGUGUCGUGAGAUGUUGGGUUAAGUCCCGCAACGAGCGCAACCCUUAUGGUCAGUUACUACGCAAGAGGACUCUGGCCAGACUGCCGUUGACAAAACGGAGGAAGGUGGGGAUGACGUCAAAUCAUCAUGCCCUUUAUGACUUGGGCUACACACGUACUACAAUGGCGUUAAACAAAGAGAAGCAAGACCGCGAGGUGGAGCAAAACUCAGAAACAACGUCCCAGUUCGGACUGCAGGCUGCAACUCGCCUGCACGAAG
rnacentral:rRNA from 1 species